rnacentral:lncRNA from 1 species
AUAGCAUCCAUGUUGUUGCUGGAUCUUCUUUUUUUUCAUGUAGGUCUGUUGCUAUUUGCUUUCUUCUAGACUUGCAGUAAGUCAACAUAAUCUUCAAAAAUACGUACCAGUAUAUAUUGAUUCUUCGCUCUUUAUAUGGCAUUUUAUCCAGUCCAUGUGCUGACACUUUGUUGUACUUGCUUGUGGUCAUUUAUCUGAUGUUUAUUUCUGCUCUUUUCAAAUGUCCACGCAAAAUAGUUCUCACAAGGGCUAGGGUUUCUCUCCAUCAGUCCCAAAAAGCAAAUGAUAGCAUAAUAGCAAAGUGAUAGCAUAAUAGUAAGUGUAAGGCAAGAAUGAUGAGUGGAAGUAGGUAUUCUAGAGAAUAUAUUUGUCAUACAUACAACCAUAAAAUCUUAGCAUCUAUUAAGAAGCUUAGUACAAGAGAACAAACCACACCAGAGAGAGCAGAAGAGAUUAAAAAUAUCAUUAAAGCCUUAAUCUUAUGACAGUACAGAGCUGUUAACACCAGUAAGGCAUCUUUGCCCAAAUGCAUAAAGCAAGCAGCAGUGUUUUGAAUUUAAGCUUUUUGCUGUAGUUUUUGUUUGUUUUCAGUCACUCACCUCUUUCAGUACAGUAUCACUGUUGUUUCUGUAAUCUCCUUUGCGCUGCUGCUAGCUUCUUGUGCUUUGCUGCUCAGCUGCUUACUCACCCAUCUUUUAUACUGACAGCUACACCCUCACGUAAUAAUAACUUGUUUUUAUGCAGUGCAUUCACCUUAGUGAUUUACCCAACCUACUCAUAAGAUUGCAAACCAGAAAACACUCCUUUCACAGGACCCUGCCUGCAAGCAGGCUCUCUAGACUGUUAGUGGGAUGUUUUAUGUGAUUACAAGAUCGCCUCCAGUAUGGCUUCUAAGAUCAGGUGCAAACUAGUGAAGAAUUUCAAUCUGAAUCUUUUUUUUUCACAUGAAAUUACACUGAUUGGGAAAGGAUUUUCUGAAUGAAGCCACCAGGAAAGAAAAGACAUCUGCACAGAGGUCAACUGCAUCUGAUUUGCCUUGUAGAUGGACCCACAGCUCUCUGGUUGUUUAAAGAGAUGAGAUCACAAGUUCCAGUUUUCCUACUAUGCAUCAGCAGGAAUGAGUUAAGGGAGUAAAGCAAGGUUAAAUCAGCUUGAUUUCAUCAGGUGGUAUCUUUUAGCAUUUGUUACUUGUGAAUCUAAAACUGAGUUUAAUGCACAGCACUUCUCUCAUACUAUGGAGU